CGGGGAUAACACCUGGGAACAGAUGCUAAUACCCGGGAUAACAACAGAUGAUGCCUAUCAACUGUUUAAAAAGAUGGGUCUGCUAUCACUCUUGGAUGGGACCUGCGGUGCAUUAGCUAGUUGGUAGGGUAACGGCCUACCAAGGCGAUGAUGCAUAGCCGAGUUGAGAGACUGAUCGGCCACAUUGGGACUGAGACACGGCCCAAACUCCUACGGGAGGCAGCAGUAGGGAAUCUUCCACAAUGGACGCAAGUACUGAUGGAGCAACGCCGCGUGAGUGAAGAAGGGUUUCGGCUCGUAAAGCUCUGUUGUUGGUGAAGAAGGACAGGGGUAGUAACUAACCUUUGUUUGACGGUAAUCAAUUAGAAAGUCACGGCUAACUACGUGCCAGCAGCCGCGGUAAU
rnacentral:rRNA from 1 species